rnacentral:rRNA from 1 species
GAUGAACGCUAGCGGCAGGCCUAAUACAUGCAAGUCGAACGGUGUAGCAAUACAUAGUGGCGCACGGGUGCGUAACACGUAUGCAACCUACCUUAUACUGGGGGAUAGCCUUUGGAAACGGAGAUUAAUACCCCAUAGUACAUUUAGAUGGCAUCAUUUGAAUGUUAAAGAUUUAUCGGUAUAAGCUGGGCAUGCGUCCAAUUAGUUAGUUGGUGAGGUAACGGCUCACCAAGACUUUGAUUGGUAGGGGAACUGAGAGGUUAAUCCCCCACACUGGCACGGAGAUACGGGCCAGACUCCUACGGGAGGCAGCAGUAGGGAAUAUUGGGCAAUGGAGGCAACUCUGACCCAGCCAUGCCGCGUGCAGGAAGAAAGCGUUAUGCGUUGUAAACUGCUUUUAUAUAGGAAGAAAUAGUCCUUGCGAGGAAAGUUGACGGUACUAUAUGAAUAAGCACCGGCUAACUCCGUGCCAGCCGCCGCCGUAA